AGUCGACGGCAGCACGGACUUCGGUCUGGUGGCGAGUGGCGAACGGGUGAGUAAUAUAUCGGAACGUGCCCAGUCGUGGGGGAUAACGUAGUGAAAAUUACGCUAAUACCGCAUACGAUCUAAGGAUGAAAGCGGGGGGUCGCAAGACCUCGCGCGAUUGGAGCGGCCGAUAUCAGAUUAGGUAGUUGGUGAGGUAAAGGCUCACCAAGCCAACGAUCUGUAGCUGGUCUGAGAGGACGACCAGCCACACUGGAACUGAGACACGGUCCAGACUCCUACGGGAGGCAGCAGUGGGGAAUUUUGGACAAUGGACGCAAGUCUGAUCCAGCCAUUCCGCGUGCAGGACGAAGGCCUUCGGGUUGUAAACUGCUUUUGUACAGAACGAAAAGGUCUCUAUUAAUACUGGGGGCUCAUGACGGUACUGUAAGAAUAAGCACCGGCUAACUACGUGCCAGCAGCCGCGGUAAUACGUAGGGUGCAAGCGUUAAUCGGAAUUACUGGGCGUAAAGCGUGCGCAGGCGGUUAUAUAAGACAGAUGUGAAAUCCCCGGGCUCAACCUGGGAACUGCAUUUGUGACUGUAUAGCUGGAGUGCGGCAGAGGGGGAUGGAAUUCCGCGUGUAGCAGUGAAAUGCGUAGAUAUGCGGAGGAACACCGAUGGCGAAGGCAAUCCCCUGGGCCUGCACUGACGCUCGUGCACGAAAGCGUGGGGAGCAACAGGAUUAGAUACCCUGGUAGUCACGCCCUAACGAUGUCACUGG
rnacentral:rRNA from 1 species